rnacentral:rRNA from 1 species
GUGAGGAAUUUUCCGCAAUGGGCGAAAGCCUGACGGAGCAAUGCCGCGUGAAGGAUGAAGGCCUAUGGGUUGUAAACUUCUUUUCUCAGAAAAGAAUUAUGACGGUAUCUGAGGAAUAAGCAUCGGCUAACUCUGUGCCAGCAGCCGCGGUAAGACAGAGGAUGCAAGCGUUAUCCGGAAUGAUUGGGCGUAAAGCGUCUGUAGGUUGUUUAAAAAGUAUUCUGUCAAAGAUUAGGGCUUAACCCUAGAUAGGCAGAAUAAACUUUUAAGCUAGAGUUUGGUAGAGGCAGAGGGAAUUCCCGGUGGAGCGGUGAAAUGCGUAGAUAUCAGGAGGAACACCAAAGGCGAAGGCACUCUGCUGGGCCAAUACUAACACUGAGAGACGAAAGCGAGGGGAGCAAAUGGGAUUAGAAACCCUAGUAGUCC